UACGUAGGGUGCAAGCGUUGUCCGGAAUUAUUGGGCGUAAAGAGCUCGUAGGCGGUUUGUCGCGUCGAAUGUGAAAACCCGGGGCUCAACCCCGGGCCUGCAUUCGAUACGGGCAGACUAGAGUUCGGUAGGGGAGACUGGAAUUCCUGGUGUAGCGGUGAAAUGCGCAGAUAUCAGGAGGAACACCGAUGGCGAAGGCAGCUCGCUGGGACGGUACUGACGCUGAGGCGCGAAAGCGUGGGGAGCAAACAGG
rnacentral:rRNA from 1 species